GAUAUGAAGUUACGGGCGGCUCGUGCAAAGCCGUAACACGAUAACAGCUGUUGCAUACCUCUCGAUUUGCGGGACAGCAAAAGUUUCGACGAUCGCGUGUCCGACGGUUGCACGAACAGGAGGUUCACGCACACAUCUACUGCGAAGUGUGAAUGGCUUCUGUGAACCUGACCCGACCGACAAACCACCACCACCAACAUCACCACCGACACAACCACUAACGUCGAGACCCAUUACAUCAGCGUCGACGGAAGCAGCAGCUACACGCGGACCUGCCGCGACCAUGUGUACACGUAUGACUGAACGAGAGAGAGAGAGAGAGAGAGAGAGAGAGAGAGAGAAAGAGAGAGGAAAUGUGUACGCGUGCGACAAAUACAUAAUACCUACAUAGGGAUAUACACACACAUACACAUAUACAACCAUACAAGAGCGUGCAAAGCAAAAGCUUUCUCGUGGAUUUGUUUAGUACGUAGUACCUACUCUGGUCGACCUCGUGCAACACCAGUCCCCCCUCUUUCAAACACGUAAUACAUAUACUUUACGGACCGCCUACCGGCAAAAGCCUCCAUAUAAUGCAGGAACGGUUGGGCGCGUGCCAAUUCUUUCGAGGCAGCCAACAAACAAGGAAGACUAACCGAAAGAACGAAAAGAAGACGCAACCUCUCCUCCUUCCGCCCCUCUCCGAGCACUUCCUUCCCACACACUCAAUGACUAAAGCCUCUUUAACACCCGAUCAGUCACGCUCGAUUAACGAUACCCUAAAUCACGUCCAUCUUUCCAUUCUUUUCUCGUUGAGAGGUGGUACCGGAAUAGGAAAUAAAAAAAUGUCUAUACCUAGAGCCUCGGGGUCCGAAAGUUGGUCAUCGAUCACUUCAAUACAUAUAUAUGUAUAUAUAUAUGUGUGUGUGUGUGUAUAUAUAUAUUUGGUUCACCUAUAUCAAAAUUCUCGUUAAAAAUAUUCUACAUCAUUUAAUUAAUAACGAUAAUAAUCUUGUUUUGUAACACUUGUUUUUGAAUAAUCCUAUAGACGUUCAUGAUAAAUACUUUUAUAUUAUAAACGUUCGUUAUAGUAUUGGAUUGUCCGGAAAAUUCAUGUCGAUUUUGUUAUUACGUUACCUACCACAAAUAGGCACAAACUUUCCGGACAAGCUAAUAUUUUGAAUAAAAUGUCUGUGUUUACAUGCAAAAUCGAAAUAUCAUAAAAAAAAUGUGUAAUAAUGAGUAAAAUUGAUAAAGAUAAAAAAAUAAAGAAGGGAUAAGAGAAGGAGCAAAGGUAUAAAUACGGGUACGCUUGGUAUUCGCAACCGGAAA